CUCUCCUUCUCCCCUAACUUUCGACCACCACCUCUCUCCCCUUCAUCUCUCUACUUUCCACCAUUUUCCUCCAUUGAUGCACCUUCGGAGCUUCACAAAUUCAUACCAAAACUCAAAUCACCCUCUAAAUCCACCUUAAACACCUUCCAUCUCCUUAGAUUCAAGAAGAUCCAUGGAGAUUCAAUCUUGAAGUUAGUGAGAGAAAAUUUGAUAUUUGGUGUAAACUUGGACACGAGCAGAGCAGGGAAGUAAGUAACUCCGCUUUGACGGGAGUUUUGAGUAAGGUCUUCAGGCUAAGCGAGGAGUGAGAUUGGUCUGGUGCUGGUGGGGGAUCGUUAGAUGAUGUAUUUACUUUAUCGUAUUUCCUUUUUAUCGAUAAAGUCUCGAUGUGAAGUUACUUUGAAUAUGAAUCAAGUAAUAUACUCACGGUUAUGUGUCUUCAUACAUAUAAUCGGUUCGCCUUUUGCUGCGAUACUCUGCAUAUUAUGUUUCCUUAUGAAAAUUAAGCUAUACCUGUUUUGUUUUUGUUCGUGAAAUUCCUGA